AGCCCGGGAUGGAGGGGCGGGCGCAGGGAGGAUGGCCGGAGGCGUGUCCAAGCGCUCGAAUUCGAAAAACAUGCUUCCCGCCUCGGCUUUGUGCGCCUGGGAACCCGCGUGGGACCGCGGGGAUCCCGCUCGCCUGGCAGACCGCGAACGCGAGCUUCGGGGCGUGUGUGCUGGAACCUGGUGCGCCAGGAGCAGGCGGGGAACAGGAGUCAGCCUUGGUUAGUGACAGGACAGCCGGUGCCACACCGCAAGGGCCCUACCGGCGACUAUUAGCUUAAGAAAACCGCAUGCCUGCAUUUAGCUACCUUCAUGUUAUUGACAAGGUUCAAAGCUGUGGAAGCAAGGACAAAGGAAUAUGAAUUUGGGAAAAAAAUUUGCAAAGAAAGAAGAUGAAUUAUUUUUUAUACAGCAACAGAAUUCUGUAUCUGAAUUCCUUAUUGAAAGUGAGUAUCACCAAAGCUGCUGGCUUCCUCUCCCCUUUCCCUGUGUUUAUAAAUAUAAUGUCUUGCAUGUUGGGUAAUGUACUUUGUACAGCUUCUCAUUGUACAGCUGUGAAAGACAUGCAGAAAGAAAAGAGGAGGCAGGAGACGAUACAGAAAUUUUCUACAUCUCUAAAGAGAGAAGAAUACUGAAACAAAAGAAAAGGAAGAACAGUAAGAAGAUACAUAUUUGCAAGACAAGUUGCAUCAGUUUGUGGAACUUUGGGUUUUGAACACACAGAAACAGGUCAGAUUGAUGCUGAAACAGAGUAAAGAAGUAACUUCAUAUACCGCUUUUUUACUUUUACAAUAAAAUUAUUCUAAACAUAAGUCAAAAAUUGAUUAAAAACAAUGAUUCAUGAACUAAGGGCAAAAAGGUAAUCCUACUCUCAGUUAAACCAAUGAGUAUCUCGUCACUUCUUAUCAAUAAGAUAAACAUGAUUUUAAGACCUUUUAUGCUGGAUCAAAUAUAGAAAUUAGUUAUCUAAGUAUUGACAUUUGUUGACUCUCAGAUUGUACCCAUGUAUCUGAAGAUGGAGAUAAGAUAAUGUUUUUUAAAUAAGUUGUGCCCUUGGCCAUGGCUAAACUAUGGCGUUUAAGAUUUUAUUUUCCAGAGUCUAACACGUAUCUGCUACUUCCUAACAUAAUUUUGAAGUAUAUCCCAGCUUUAUAACUUUCUUUCUGCCUAUACUUUAAUUUUCAUAGGGAAAAUAUAUAAGUGCACGUCCUGAGGUUGCCGUGGGGCACUUUCCUCUGGAUUAUAAAGUGUCUUACCUUUUGGGUAAUGUUCUUUAUACAGCAUCUAACUGUGAAAGGCAGAUACAGCAGAAAGAGAACAGGAAGUAGAAAACUACUUAGAAAACAUAGAGGAGAGAGGGACACUUAGUCAGGAGGGUGGGUGGACCAUGCACAGGGUUCAUACAGUCAUAGAAAAUGAUUACAGAACCAGUCCUCUUCCUAUAGAGAGAUUUUAGAUAUAUAAAAUCCUAAUGUAUGUGCAGUUCAUGGAGAUGAGUUUUAUUUAAAUAUGAUCUAGCAGGAAGAAUAAAAGUAAGAUGGAUGAGAGAGGGAGAUGUUGAUCUCUUUUCCCUGUGAUCCAGUAACAGGGUGUGUAGAAACAGUUCAAAGUUGAACUGGGGGAGGUUCCAGCUUGAUGUUAGGAAGCAUUUCUUUACUGAGAAGGUGGUCAAACACUGGAAUGGUCUUCCUAGAGAGGUAACUAGCACCCCAAGCCUGUCAGUGUUUAAGUGUUUGGGCAAUGUCCUUGAAAACAUGCUUUAACUUUUGGCCAGUCCUGAAGUGGUCAGGCAGAUGAUCAUUGCAAGUCACCUCCAGCUGAACUAUUCUGUUCUGUUCUAUUCUGUUCUGCUCUGUUCUAUUCUAUUCUAUUCUAAAAUUAACAGCUAAUUUUUUCUACUGGUUUUCCAUAUAAUUUUUCAGUAAUCUAAAGUAAUUAAUAGGACAUGUUUCUUUAUAUGGUAUAUCAAUAUAUUCUAACAGUAAAUUUCAUCUCUCUGUGAGGUGCUGCCUUUUUGAGGUACAGGAGAGAGUGCUGGUUUUACUUUUGUUAAAAAACCCCGAGCACUUUCACUCACAGGUGAAACAAUGAAUACAGUACUUGAUACACUGCUGCUUUAUAUCCAUCUCUCUUUGGACUUCUCUUCUUUUGAUGCGAUUCCAGCUUAAGAUAUAAAUGGUAAAUCAUGUUCACAAGUCAUCUAUGUUGUAAUUGCAGACUUUGAUAGAGUUAUGUGAGAAACAAUCUUGACCCAUCAUAAAAGCUUCAUAAAUAAAUACACAUUCUAAAUUAAAAAACUAUUCAUAGCAGAGUCAGGUUUGGAAUACAUUUUCUUAAAAGAAUGGCAAAAUCAUGUUUACUGAUAAUUCUUUGUCAUCCACUUGCCAUAUUUUUUCCCACACAGAGAUAAAUUUGAUUAGAAGUAUUUUUCAUGCCUUAGAGAGCUACAUAGAGGCUGUUUCAUAGAAAGCAAAUUAAGUUACAAUUUUUAACACUGUAGGCUGUAUAUCAUUUAGAGUAAUGUACAAUGAAAUGAAAAAUAAUGGUUGAGGUCUGGUCCCAUUGCAGAUAAUGGCAAAACUCACAUUAUAUUUGAGCAAAGUGGGAUCUGUUUGUUUGAACAAAUAGAGGAAGUCUCUAUUCUGUCAAUCCUUGACAGAACCUUAUUCCUCUCUGUUAAUUUGUUGUCAGAUGUAGCAUGUUUCAGGCCCAAAUUUGGCUAAUAAAUAAGAAACCCUCAUCACCAAAGCACUUGAAAGUAUACUUUUAAUGUUUUUCUAGAGUAGAGAUGGAUUACAGGAUCAGCCUUUUGGAAAUAAAUAGCCUGAGUUUUCUCAUUACAAAUGCAAAAAGAUUUCAAGUUGGAAAAUGCAGAAUCAAAUAUAACUCUAUGUCUUUGUGGAUUUAUGGUUUUAGAUAAUAGACAAAACCAGGAAAGUGAUUAAUCAAUACGAGUAAACAAUUUUGUCAAGAGUAAAAUUACGCACAUAAUUUAUUUUCACUGAAAGAAAAAGACAAUGUGCAACUUAGAGAAACAAAAUGGAAGUGCUGCUGAAAAGGAAUAUAAAAAAGCUACAAAGUGGUAGUAAUGUGUUCCAUUUUAAUGUGCAAAUGGAAAGAAAUAUAGCUGAAAAGACAACUGUAAUAAAAAAAAUCACUGUGCUUUAUUUCAGCUUGUUAUCUUAAAAAAACUACACAACUUUAAAAUGGUUAGUCAUUUAAAUUAUUCCCUAAGAACAGGUUUAAAGCAAUAUGCUUUUGGUUUUCUGCUUCUUUAAAGAUCACAUUAUUUGAAUAUUUUACUUCACUGAAAGGUUUGGCUUGCUUUAUUGUAGUGCAUUAUGAAGGUUUUCUAAGCAAGAUAAUAAUGUGGAAUAUUUAAACUAGCAUACAUUAAAUGCAGCAGUAUAGCUUCUGUCUUGAAAAGGAUUAUACUGUAUGGAAAGUGAUGCUACCGGCAUCAUAGAUUAUUUAAUUACAAUUCUUGUAAUAUACACCUUAAUUUCUCAUUUCCUUACAUGGAGUUUUUUUCCUUUUACAGAAUGCAACACAAUUAUGAAUGAAAAUGUUUGUUUCUAUUGUGAUCUCAUUAAGAAAAACCACUGUCUUUUUCAAUUUCCAAUUUCAAGUGACUCAUAUUUAAUAAAAAAACCUGUUUUGAUGGA